UACGGAGGGGGCUAGCGUUAUUCGGAAUUAUUGGGCGUAAAGGGCGUGUAGGCGGCUUCGUAAGUCUUGUGUGAAAGCCCUCGGCUCAACCGAGGAAUUGCACGAGAAACUGCGUGGCUCGAGUCCGGGAGAGGAUAGUGGAAUUCCCAGUGUAGCGGUGAAAUGCGUAGAUAUUGGGAGGAACACCGGUGGCGAAGGCGGCUAUCUGGACCGGUACUGACGCUGAUACGCGAAAGCCAGGGGAGCAAACGGG
rnacentral:rRNA from 1 species